rnacentral:rRNA from 1 species
AUGAUGGCGUCGGAGCCGGUGGCGCGGGCCGUGGCGGAGGAGGUGGGGCGGUGGGGCAGCAUGAAGCAGACGGGGGUGAGCCUGCGGUACAUGAUGGAGUUCGGGUCCGUCCCCACGGACCGCAACCUGCUGCUCUCGGCCCAGUUCCUGCAAAAGGAGCUCCCCAUCCGCAUCGCCCGCCGCGCGCUCGAGCUCGAGUCCCUCCCCUUCGGCCUCUCCGCCAAGCCCGCCAUCCUCAAGGUGAGGGACUGGUACUUGGACUCGUUCCGCGACAUCCGAUAUUUCCCAGAAGUGAGGAAUCGGGACGACGAGCUUGCUUUCACGCAGAUGAUUAAGAUGAUCAAAGUGCGGCACAAUAACGUGGUACCGACUAUGGCUUUGGGAGUGCAACAGCUGAAAAACGAACAGUUCAGCUCAAGGAAGCUUCCCCCAGGAUUCGACGAGAUCCACGGGUUCCUCGAUCGAUUUUACAUGUCAAGGAUUGGUAUUCGCAUGCUCAUAGGGCAGCAUGUGGCUCUGCAUGAACCUGAACCACAGCCUGGCGUCAUAGGCCUCAUCAAUACAAAAUUGUCCCCCAUACAGGUAGCUCAAAUUGCUAGUGAGGAUGCCCGUUCCAUUUGUAUGAGGGAAUACGGAUCAGCUCCUGACAUCAACAUUUAUGGAGAUCAAAAUUUAACAUUUCCAUAUGUCACAUCGCAUCUUCAUCUCAUGCUGUUUGAACUGGUGAAAAAUUCCCUUCGUGCAGUACAGGAAAGAUAUAUGAAUUCUGAUAAAGAUGUUCCUCCUGUCAGAAUUAUAGUUGCUGAUGGAACAGAGGAUGUUACUAUUAAGGUCAGUGAUGAAGGCGGUGGAAUACGGAGAAGUGGGCUCCCUAGAAUUUUCACAUAUCUUUACAGCACUGCAAAGAAUCUACCUGAUAUGGAGGGCCCUAGUGAAGGAGUGACUAUGGCUGGAUAUGGUUUUGGACUUCCAGUUAGUCGCCUUUAUGCGCGAUAUUUCGGUGGCGACCUACAAAUCAUAUCCAUGGAGGGAUACGGCACCGACGCUUACCUCCACUUGUCACGACUGGGAGACUCGGAGGAGCCAUUGCCUUAG